ensembl:piRNA 21ur-10678 ncRNA
UGAUUUUGGCAAGAUAAACUU